UACGUAGGGUGCGAGCGUUGUCCGGAAUUAUUGGGCGUAAAGAGCUCGUAGGCGGUCUGUCGCGUCGGUCGUGAAAACCUGCAGCUUAACUGUGGGCGUGCGGUCGAUACGGGCAUGACUGGAGUUCGGCAGGGGAGACUGGAAUUCCUGGUGUAGCGGCGAAAUGCGCAGAUAUCAGGAGGAACACCGGUGGCGAAGGCGGGUCUCUGGGCCGAUACUGACGCUGAGGAGCGAAAGCGUGGGGAGCGAACAGG
rnacentral:rRNA from 1 species